rnacentral:rRNA from 1 species
GAUGAACGCUGGCGGCGUGCUUAACACAUGCAAGUCGAACGAAGCACUUUACUUGAUCUUUUCGGAGUGAUUGUUUUAUGACUGAGUGGCGGACGGGUGAGUAACACGUGGGUAACCUGCCUCACACAGGGGGAUAACAGUUGGAAACGGCUGCUAAUACCGCAUAAGCGCACAGUACCGCAUGGUACGGUGUGAAAAACUCCGGUGGUGUGAGAUGGACCCGCGUCUGAUUAGCUAGUUGGCAGGGCAGCGGCCUACCAAGGCGACGAUCAGUAGCCGACCUGAGAGGGUGAACGGCCACAUUGGGACUGAGACACGGCCCAAACUCCUACGGGAGGCAGCAGUGGGGAAUAUUGCACAAUGGGGGAAACCCUGAUGCAGCGACGCCGCGUGAGCGAAGAAGUAUUUCGGUAUGUAAAGCUCUAUCAGCAGGGAAGAAGAAAUGACGGUACCUGACUAAGAAGCACCGGCUAAAUACGUGCCAGCCGCCGCAGUAA